GUGCUCAUUUUGGCAGCACAUACGCUAAAACUGGAAUAAUACAGAGAAGAUUAGUGCAGUUCCUGCAAAAGGGUGACAUGCAAAUUCAUGAAGCAUUUCAUAUUUUG
ensembl:snRNA U6 U6 spliceosomal RNA